CUGGACACUACAUGACUGAGUUACAGUACAGACAGGUUACACCUGGACACUACAUGACUGAGUUACGGUACAGACAGGUUACACCUGGACACUACAUGACUGAGUUACAGUACAGACAGGUUACACCUGGACACUACAUGACUGAGUUACAGUACAGACAGGUUACACCUGGACACUACAUGACUGAGUUACGGUACAGACAGGUUACACCUGGACACUACAUGACUGAGUUACAGUACAGACAGGUUACACCUGGACACUACAUGACUGAGUUACGGUACAGACAGGUUACACCUGGACACUACAUGACUGAGUUACAGUACAGACAGGUUACACCUGGACACUACAUGACUGAGUUACGGUACAGACAGGUUACACCUGGACACUACAUGACUGAGUUACAGUACAGACAGGUUACACCUGGACACUACAUGACUGAGUUACAGUACAGACAGGUUACACCUGGACACUACAUGACUGAGUUACAGUACAGACAGGUUACACCUGGACACUACAUGACUGAGUUACGGUACAGACAGGUUACACCUGGACACUACAUGACUGAGUUACAGUACAGACAGGUUACACCUGGACACUACAUGACUGAGUUACAGUACAGACAGGUUACACCUGGACACUACAUGACUGAGUUACAGUACAGACACAACACUGGCCAGGUAAACACUAUAGCAGUUUAGUCCCAAAUGGCCCUCUGUUCCCUUGAUAGUGCGCUACUGUUGACCAGAUUGCUAUGGGUUAGUCCUACGGGUCCUGGUCUAUGGGUUAGUCCUACGGGUCCUGGUCUAUGGGUUAGUCCUACGGGUCCUGGUCUAUGGGUUAGUCAUACGGGUCCUGGUCUAUGGGUUAGUCCUACGGGUCCUGGUCUAUGGGUUAGUCCUACGGGUCCUGGUCUAUGGGUUAGUCCUACGGGUCCUGGUCUAUGGGUUAGUCCUACAGGUCCUGGUCUAUGGGUUAGUCCUACGGGUCCUGGUCUAUGGGUUAGUCCUGUAUUGGAAAUGUAGUGCUAUUUUGGUCCCGUUCCAAGAACCACCCCAAACU